rnacentral:misc_RNA from 1 species
GAUGAAGAACGCAGCGAAAUGCGAUAAGUAAUGUGAAUUGCAGAAUUCAGUGAAUCAUCGAAUCUUUGAACGCACAUUGCGCCCGCCAGUAUUCUGGCGGGCAUGCCUGUUCGAGCGUCAUUUCAACCAUCAAGCCCCCGGCUUGUGUUGGGGACCUGCGGCUGCCGCAGGCCCUGAAAAGCAGUGGCGGGCUCGCUGUCACACCGAGCGUAGUAGAUUUCAUCUCGCUCAGGGCGUGCUGCGGGUUCCGGCCGUUAAACCACCUUCAUAACCCAAGGUUGACCUCGGAUCAGGUAGGAAGACCCGCUGAACUUAAGCAUAUCAAUUAGCGGAGGA